rnacentral:lncRNA from 1 species
AAAGUUGACACGGCCUUGACACGCCCACACCAGGGGCGUGUCAAGGCCGCAUGUAUUUCUUUGUGCUUAUCCACCUCGCGUAUUAACUAUUUUUGCUUGUCUACUACACUAAACUUCAGCAUAAGCUAUACUACAAAUGUGUUAACAAAACAUUCAUUUUGAAAUUAGAUAGAACUACCCUUACAGAAUGGAAAAAAAAUCUUCUUAUUCUGAAAUCGCUUAUAAAGUAGGCCUACUCAAAUAUAAUAUUGCAUUCUUUCUUUGCCUUCUCAAUAUUCCACAUUUGGAACCCAUGCCAAGAGUUGCAAACUCCUAUCUCACACAGCCAGUGCUUACGACCGUCGUUAUGAAUGAAUGCUUAAAACCAAUUUUCUCUCACAUUCCUAACAUUCACGUCCUAUUGCAUCCUCUGGGGUGUACCCGCUUCCUUUUCGAUCAACCGUUUGAUUAAUUAAUGAAGGAUGUGUAAAGCCUUUUCACAUCUCAGAAAGUGUUCCUACGUGUAAAGCCUUUUCACAUCUCAGAAAGAUGUUCCUACGUGUAAAGCCUUUUCACAUCUCAGAAAGUGUUCCUACGUGUAAAUUUAGCCUUUUCACAUCUCAGAAAGAUGUUCCUACGUGUAAAGCCUUUUCACAUCUCAGAAAGAUGUUCCUACGUGUAAAGCCUAUUCACUUCUCAGAAAGUAUUCCUACGUGUAAAGCCUUUUCACAUCUCAGAAAGAUGUUCCUACAUGUAAAGCCUUUUCACAUCUCAGAAAAUGUUCCUACGUGUAAAGCCUUUUCACAUCUCAGAAAGAUGUUCCUACGUGUAAAGCCUUUUCACAUCUCAGAAAGAUGUUCCUACGUGUAAAGCCUUUUCACAUCUCAGAAAGAUGUUCCUACGUGUAAAGCCUUUUCACAUCU